UACGGAGGGGGCUAGCGUUGUUCGGAAUUACUGGGCGUAAAGCGCGCGUAGGCGGCUUUGUAAGUUAGAGGUGAAAGCCCGGAGCUCAACUUCGGAAUUGCCUUUAAGACUGCAUCGCUUGAAUCAUGGAGAGGUCAGUGGAAUUCCGAGUGUAGAGAUGAAAUUCGUAGAUAUUCGGAAGAACACCAGUGGCGAAGGCGACUGACUGGACAUGUAUUGACGCUGAGGUGCGAAAGCGUGGGGAGCAAACAGG
rnacentral:rRNA from 1 species